UACGUAGGGUGCAAGCGUUACUCGGAAUCACUGGGCGUAAAGCGUGCGUAGGCGGUUCGUUAAGUCUGCUGUGAAAGCCCUGGGCUCAACCUGGGAACUGCAGUGGAUACUGGCGGACUAGAGUGUGAUAGAGGAUGGUGGAAAUUCCCGGUGUAGCGGUGAAAUGCGUAGAGAUCGGGAGGAACACCAGUGGCGAAGGCGGCCAUCUGGAUCAACACGUGA
rnacentral:rRNA from 1 species